ACUCAAAGGAAUUGACGGGGGCCCGCACAAGCGGUGGAGCAUGUGGUUUAAUUCGACGCAACGCGAAGAACCUUACCCAGGCUUGACUUCUGGAGAAUCUGUACGAAAGUACGGAGUGCCUUCGGGAACUCCAAGACAGGUGCUGCAUGGCUGUCGUCAGCUCGUGUCGUGAGAUGUUGGGUUAAGUCCCGCAACGAGCGCAACCCUCGUCCUUAGUUACCAUCAUUUAGUUGGGGACUCUAGGGAGACUGCCGGUGUUAAACCGGAGGAAGGUGGGGAUGACGUCAAGUCCUCAUGGCCUUUAUGCCUGGGGCAACACACGUGCUACAAUGGACGGUACAAAGGGUUCCAAGCUCGCGAGAGUGAGGCAAUCCCAAAAAGCCGUUCUCAGUUCGGAUUGAAGUCUGCAACUCGACUUCAUGAAGCUGGAAUCGCUAGUAAUCGCGCAUCAGCACGGCGCGGUGAAUACGUUCCCGGGCCUUGCACACACCGCCCGU
rnacentral:rRNA from 1 species